rnacentral:tRNA from 1 species
GCAGGUGUAGUAUAGUGGCAGUACGCGACCUUCCCAAGGUUGUGGCGUGGGUUCGAUUCCCAUCACCUGCU